GGAGUUUGGUCCGUGUCUCAGUACCAAUGUGGGGGACCUUCCUCUCAGAACCCCUACUGAUCGUAGCCUCGGUGGGCCGUUACCCCGCCGACAAGCUAAUCAGACGCAUCCCCAUCCCAUAGCGGUGAACCUUUGCUUCACAUCAGAUGCCAUCCGUGAAGAACAUAGGGCAUUAAUUCGACUUUCGCCGGGCUAUUCCCUACUGUGGGCCAGGUUGGAUACGCGUUACUCACCCGUGCGCCGGUCGCCGGCAAAGAAAGCAAGCUUUCUUCCCGCUGCCCCUCGACUUGCAUGUGUUAAGCCUGUAGCUAGCGUUCAUC
rnacentral:rRNA from 1 species